UCCAGAUACAGGAUGCACUGGGUGAUGGGUU
rnacentral:piRNA from 1 species